AGUGCUUCUCGGCCGUUUGGCUAAGAUCAAGUGUAGUAUCUGUUCUUAUCAGUUUAAGAUACUGAAGCUUAAAUAAACCAAAGAAUAUGGCUCUUCACUUAUAUGCCAAUGGAAUGUAUACUGUAGCUUUGUAUUCAAGGUUCUCCAAGUUAUGCCUCCCAGA
rnacentral:snRNA from 1 species